rnacentral:rRNA from 1 species
CCCUUAGAUGUUCUGGGCUGCACGCGCGCUACACUGAUACUUUCAGCGAGUCCACCACCUUGCCUGUGAGGGUAGGGUAACCUCUGGAAAGUGUAUCGUGAUGGGGAUCGAUUAUUGUAAUUAUUAAUCUUCAACGAGGAAUUCCUAGUAAGCAUGUGUCAUCAGCCCGUGCUGAUUACGUCCCUGCCCUUUGUACACACCGCCCGUCGCUCCUACCGAUUGAAUGGUCCGGUGAAGCGUUCGGACCGUGGCCUUUGGACGGUUCGCCGUCUGUUGGCUGCGGGAAGUUCGUUAAACCUUAUCAUUUAGAGGAAGGAGAAGUCGUAACA